UGGGGAAUAUUGCACAAUGGGGGAAACCCUGAUGCAGCGACGCCGCGUGAGCGAAGAAGGUUUUCGAAUCGUAAAGCUCUGUCCUAUGAGAAGAUAAUGACGGUAUCAUAGGAGGAAGCCCCGGCUAAAUACGUGCCAGCAGCCGCGGUAAUACGUAUGGGGCGAGCGUUGUCCGGAAUUAUUGGGCGCAAAGGGUACGUAGGCGGUCUAUUAAGUCAGGUGUGAAAGCGUGAGGCUUAACCUCAUUAAGCACUUGAAACUGAUAGACUUGAGUGAAGGAGAGGAAAGUGGAAUUCCUAGUGUAGCGGUGAAAUGCGUAGAUAUUAGGAGGAAUACCGGUGGCGAAGGCGACUUUCUGGACUUUUACUGACGCUCAGGUACGAAAGCGUGGGGAGCAAACAGG
rnacentral:rRNA from 1 species